rnacentral:rRNA from 1 species
GACGAACGCUGGCGGCGUGCUUAACACAUGCAAGUCGAACGGAAAGGCCUGCUUUCCCUUGUGGAUUGCGGGUACACGAGUGGCGAACGGGUGAGUGACACGUAACUGGUCUGCACCCAACUUGGGUCUAAGCCUGGGAAACUGGGUCUCAUUCCCGAUAGGACUGCAGGGUGGUGCCAGGGGUGGCAAACGAUUUUCUAGUGGGUGGGGAUGAGCUCGCGGCCUAUCAGCUUGAUGGGGGGGUAAUGGCCUACCAAGGCGGCGACGGGUAGCCUGACUGAGGGGGGGGACCGGGCCUGUGAGACUGAGCGGCCGCCCAGGCUCCGACGGGCGGCAGCAGUGGGGACGAGUGGCCGAAGGGCGGAAGCCUGAUGCAGGGACGCCGCGUGGGGGAUGACGGCCUUCGGGUUGUAAGCUCCUUUCGGCCGCGAGGAAGCCACCUGGUUGGAAGGGUGGUGACGGUAGUGGUAGAAGAAGCACCGGCUAACUACGUG